rnacentral:rRNA from 1 species
CCCGCACCAACCCACCACCCCGCCGUGUGGGCGUUUCCGCGGCGUCUGCUCCGCAGUCUCCUCCAUCUCCACCUCCUCCCCGCAGCAGGCGCCGGCACCGAGCGACGGCGACGACGCCAACGGGCGCACCGGCGUGCCCGUGCCCUUCUCCCGUGCCCUCCCUGGCGGCGGCUCCUCGUCGACGCCUUCGCCCCUUCCCCGUCCAGCGGCGACCCGGCGGGGUCCAUGCACGCCGUUCACAAGGAGCAAGUCGGAGAUGUUCGGCUUCACGGAGGGCUGCCUGCCCAUGCGCCGCUGGGACGAGCCCAACGCCUUCUUUGAGAAAUCCGUGGCGAAGAUCGUGUUCGGGCUCAACGCACUCAACAGCCUGGUGCCACUGCAGGGCGGCGCGCCAUGGGAGGAAACUGGGACACCACGAACGCGGUGUUGUUCAUCCGGUACACCGCCGGCAAGGGCUACAAAAUCCAUGGCUGGGAGCUCGGUAUGGGACAGAGAGAUAAUACUCACAGUACUAGCCGAACACUACGGCAAGGACCUCCAGCAUGACAUCACCAAAGUAAGUUGCAAACCAAAUCAGCCAGCACUGAAUGGCUGGGACAAGGCCAAGGCUACCAAGCCUCCAUUGUAUGUGCGCCAACUCUGCUGACACUGCAGCUGUGGUGUGGCUCCCUCGCUGCUAAAUUCAGUCCUCCAAUGGUCCAACCCUCAGUACCUCCUCCUUUUCCUUCGGCCUGGAGCACAGUGAGCCGGUCGGCAUGGUUUGCGGUAAGAGAGGAAGAAGAACCCUAUUUGCAGUUGAGGUCUGUUCCCAUGUAGUACUACCAAACUACUUUCCUUACUCAUGUCUCUCCUGUCUUCUCAAUACUGCUAGCGCCACCUUAAGCACGUGGAAUUUUAUUGCAGUGUGCAAACUGAACUUCCUAUCGUUGGCGUCAGUAUUCCCGUGUGCAAGCUAAAUGGGCAAUGCAUGACUCUUUCCCUGAUUCUUUUUUCAUUUUGGAAUCUAAAGGACAAUAAUUUUAUUAUUGACAUAUAUUUACUUGAUCUUGAACGAUCUGCUCUGCUGCACUUAUACAUAUAUGUGCAUUGGGUUCUGUUCAGAGAAGUUUGGAUCUAUACUUUUAUGAGCAGUCCACUACACGAUCUCUUCGUAUCUAUUAUUUGUCGAUCUACCAACAAUUUCUUAAUUAAAGAAGGAAGAAUGGAUGAAGCAGAAGAUUACUUAAGUUCAGUAAAGGCAUCCAAUACUGCCCCCUUGAUGGUCAGAAUCAUUGCCACAUGAAAACACUUUUGCCAGUUUGCAUGAAUUAGUCUGUUCUUUUCAUGAAUAUUCUGCAGAGAGUUCAUUAUGCUCUGCUAUUUGCCCUUGCUUCAAAUAAAAUCGGCCGCUUAACUGCAAGUAUUGUCAAAGUAAUACCUUCUAUGAUUAUUGAAUAGUUGCUUGCAUGUGAUUGUGAGUUUUAACUACAUGGGAAUAUGGAUCUCAAUGCUUACCUAUGUAUAGGUUCUCAUGCUCUUCAUAUAUUAUACAAUGCUAUUUUCAUUUUCUAUCAGUUGCCUUGGCGCAGUGGUAAAGCUGCUGCCUUGUGACCAUGAGGUCAUGGGUUCAAGUCCUGGAAACAGUCUCUUACAGAAAUGUAGGGAAAGGCUGCGUACUAUAGACCCAAAGUGGUCGGACCCUUCCCUGGACCCUGCGCAAGCGGGAGCUACAUGCACCAGGUUGCCCUUUUUAUCAGUUGUCUCGGACAUGUGUUUUGAUGUGUUCUGUUCUCAUGCUACCUAUACCAAGGGGUUGCCAAAGUUCAGAAGUAGGCUACGGGUAAGCUCUCCUCAACUAUCAGAUAAUUCUCACUCCUUCAGUAUAAUGGUGUUUGUUAAUUCCCAAUCCAUGGACACAUGCUUCCUACCCAUUCAAUUUGUUCAUGUUCUAGAUAAAGGAGUUUGGAUUUAAUGGGAGGAAGCGAUUAAUGUUUUGCUGUGAGUACUGGACGCAUGGUGAACGAUCUCUGAGGCAGUCCUCACACUCAUCUUGACAUGCAAUAUCCAUUUUUUUAAUUAGAUUUGUCGUGUACUCAGAUAACUAUAUUUAUGUGGAAUUGUACCCUUUGUCAUAUUUUGUUUGCUAAGAAGCCUAAUUUUUAAGUUUGGUGCAUAUACAAAGGGCCUUAAGCUAAUUCCUUGAUUUUCCAGAGGAUUAUUUCUAUGCUAAAGUAUAGAUUAUGAGUACACCCUCCUCGGUUACAUUUAUGACAAGUUCAUUUUUUUAAGUCUGCAGGAAAGAAUUUGCAGUAGAGCCACAAGAGGAAGCCAUGACAGAAUAGAGUAUUUUACAGUAGGAAAGUUGUAAUUAGUCACAUCACCAUUUAUUUUAUUAUCUCUGACAAUCAUGUGAACUAUAG